AUGAACUUUUUUCAGCAACACACGGGACCUACAAUUAUUAGGUUAAAAUCAGCAGGUCACAACCACGUCAUCAGCAGCUGGACAUCGCUGCCUGUGUUCACCUGCCACGCGUAUAUCUUCUUUAGUGAACUGUCUGUUCAAGUCUGCUGCCUCCUUUUUAACUGGGCUGUUCAUUUUCCUACUGUACAGUGGGAAGAAAGAAGAUGAUGGAGAAAGUUUUUUGACCUAAUAUCAGCACUUCUUAGUAUCUGUC
rnacentral:lncRNA from 1 species